rnacentral:lncRNA from 1 species
CAACUCAAUCAGAGACUAUUUGCCUAUUUAAUUAGAGUGUUGUUAUACCCAUCCCAUUGUCCUAUUUCCCCACUCACUUGUUAAUGAAAAUUUAAAUAACAUAUUUAUCCUUUUUUAAAAGAUUUUUAAACCCCUAUGUGGUACUACGUAGCAGUCAACGCUACUAUUUUUGUAACGGCCAUAAUUGAGUGGAUUUGAUCGGACGACUGGCGAAAUAAGAGAGGGGAAAAAGAGAAAACCGGUGACCGGCCACUAACAAGUAAUCGCCUCCCAUCGUCCUCGGCAACACCGAUAUGCAAAAGUGGAUAUUAGUAAGGCCUGAAUUUGAGGCAGGUAGGUGAGGGGUUUGGGUGUCAACUUUGGCUAGGAUUCGACAAGAUGCACUCAAGCUUAAGAAAGGCAACACCAAAGCACCAACUUAUGAUUUGCCCUAAAAUGCUUCCAUCUUUCCAACACCAAGAAGCUCACAACCUCAUUGAAAGUCAUUGGUGGGUUGUUUUGAAUCCAGAGUUUCAGAGAACCAACGACAUGCAGAGAAAAUAUGAACCACCAACUAGACCACAAUAGCCGGACCUCGACACACCACCCAAAUCCAAAGUUUCAUUGAAAGUCAUGUGUUUGUGCGGCUAGAGUAUAACGAAGAUGUGGUGAUGUGAUUAAGGAUGGAGAUCGAGGGUUUUUGUUUUUUAAAUAUACUAAAAGGUUAUUUUAAGAAUAAUAGUGGGUGCUAUUUUAAUUUUUUAACUUUUUAUGGUGGGUGAAAUAAUAAUGUGGGUGAAAAAAUAAGACAAUACAG